rnacentral:rRNA from 1 species
UACUAGAGUAGCACUCGCAUAUCAAUAAGCGGAGGAAAAGAAACUAACAAGGAUUCCCCUAGUAACGGCGAGUGAAGCGGGAAGAGCUCAAAUUUGAAAUCUUAAAGGGUUUCCCUUUACGAAUUGUAGUUUAAAGAAGUGUUUUCUGUUGAGGUUUUGGUAAAAGUUCUUUGGAAUAGGACAUCAUAGAGGGUGAGAAUCCCGUAUUUGACCUUUACUUUCAACUUUGUGAUACACUUUCAAAGAGUCGGAUUGUUUGGGAAUGCAGUCCAAAAUGGGUGGUAAAUUUCAUCUAAAGCUAAAUAUUGGCGAGAGACCGAUAGCGAACAAGUACCGUGAGGGAAAGAUGAAAAGAACUUUGAAAAGAGAGUUAAACAGUACGUGAAAUUGUCAAAAGGGAAGCGUUUGACACCAGUGUUGUUUUUCUGAAAAUCAAUUAAAGAACUGUUUAUGCUAAGCUGUUUAGACUUUAUCAGCUAUCUGUUUAGUUUUGAGCUUUUCUUUAAUGCACUUUUCAGUUAACAAGUCAACAUCAAUUUCUUUUGCUGUAAAAAAGCUAGAGGAAGGUGGCUUGAGAUUCGUCUUAAGUGUUUAUAGCCUCUUGCCUAUGCAGUCGGAGAGAUUGAGGUCUGCAGCGUAGAUCCUUCGGGGCUAAAUGCAUUUGUGCUAAGUUAUAGCAUUUUAUAGACAACUUGUUGACUAUGAUUUGUCUUGUAGCUUACUCGCUUAUGUUAUUUUACCUACGCUUAGGAUGUUGAGCGCAUGUCUCUCUCU